ACUGAGAACUUUUGGCUCCUCUGCUUCUCAUCAACGCAACACUUCUAGCCAAAAACUUUUGGCUCUACUUAGUCACCAAGAUGAUUCACGUGGUACUCGCUACCAUUUUCUCACUCAUAUUUUUGACUACCAAAUCCCAAUUAAUUCCAUCGCCAUCUCCCCAAUCAAUUCCAUCGCUAUCUCCCCAGCCAAACAUCAAUCCCAUGGUUGAUUUUUAUAAACUCACCAUCCAAUGGCCACAAGCAUUUUGCAAUGUCAUGCCAUGCAACUAUCCACUUCCAAACUAUUUCACAAUCCACGGAUUGUGGCCUAGUUAUCUAAAUGGGCUGCCAGUUACUUAUCCUUCCUGCACCUCCGCCAUGAAUGUUCCUUCACGUAUAUUGAAUACUGAUUUCCUUCCAAUUAUGAAUGAUCUGAACCAGUAUUGGCCAGAUCUUAAACUUAGUACAAACAAUUAUGGCUUUUGGAAUCACGAGUGGAUGCAACAUGGGGUGUGCUCGGCAUAUCCUUUUAUGCAUUUCAGUAUUUUCAAUUAACCCUGGAUCUUUACCAACAAUACAAUCCAUUAGCUAUACUAAGUAACGGAGGAAUCCUUCCCGGGGCAUUCACCUCGGUUGGAGAUGUCACACAGACCAUCUUCAACGCUAUUGGUGCGUAUGUCGAAGUUCGGUGCAAUUACAUCUUGAUUGGGAAUGUGAAGAUAUAUCAGCUAUGGGAAAUAUCGAUUUGCAUAGAUAAGCAGAAUCGUUUAAUAAAUUGCACACUCAACGGUCACCUUCUGCUUGCUUCAGGACAUUGCAGACGGAGGCCCCUGACAGACCCGAUUUUAUUUCCUUGAUAUAUGACCCUCUUGGUCGCAUUUGCUAGGAAACUACCUUCUGUCCUCAGUGGAAUAAAGUUGUCAGAAUCUAAGGGUUUCUUUUAUGGGGGUUAGAGUCGAAGUUGAAUAUAGAUUGAUAGCUACUUUGUUUCAAGUUUGACAUAAGAGAGUGUCUUGCUUAUUUUUA